AUGAACGCUGGCGGCGUGCCUAACCCAUGCAAGUCGAGCGGCAGCGAGGGGUGCUUGCACCCUGUCGGCGAGCGGCGGACGGCUGAGUAACGCGUGGGAACGUGCCCCAAAGUGAGGAAUAACUGCCCGAAAGGGUAGCUAAUACCGCAUAUUAUCUUCGGAUCAAAGGAUUUAUCCGCUUUGGGAGCGGCUCGCGUCGGAUUAGGUAGUUGGUGAGGUAAUGGCUCACCAAGCCGACGAUCCGUAGCUGGUCUGAGAGGAUGACCAGCCAGACUGGAACUGAGACACGGUCCAGACUCCUACGGGAGGCAGCAGUGAGGAAUCUUCCACAAUGGGCGAAAGCCUGAUGGAGCAACGCCGCGUGCAGGACGAAGGCCUUCGGGUUGUAAACUGCUUUUAUAAGUGAGGAAUAUGACGGUAACUUAUGAAUAAGGAUCGGCUAACUGCGUG
rnacentral:rRNA from 1 species